rnacentral:misc_RNA from 1 species
GAUGAAGAACGUAGCGAAAUGCGAUAAGUAAUGUGAAUUGCAGAAUUCAGUGAAUCAUCGAAUCUUUGAACGCACCUUGCGCUCUUUGGUAUUCCGAAGAGCAUGCCUGUUUGAGUGUCAUGAAAAUAUCAACCUUGACUUGGGUUUUGUGCUCUAGUCUCGGCUUGGAAUUGGGUGCUUGCCGCUUUUACGCGCGGCUCACCUUAAAUGUAUUAGCUGGAUCUGUCUUUGAGACUUGGUUUGACUUGGCGUAAUAAGUAUUUCGCUAAGGACAUUCUUCGGAGUGGCCUCGUUUCUAGGACGCUUGUCCGCUUUCCAAUACAAGUUCCACCUCGUGGACAUGACUUUUUAUUAUCUGGCCUCAAAUCAGGAAGGACUACCCGCUGAACUUAAGCAUAUCAAUAAGCGGAGGA